UACGUAGGGUGCGAGCGUUAAUCGGAAUUCCUGGGCGUAAAGCGUGCGCAGGCGGUUUUGUAAGCCAGGUGUGAAAGCCCCGGGCUUAACCUGGGAAUGGCAUUUGGGACUGCAAGGCUUGAGUGCGGCAGAGGAGACUGGAAUUCCUGGUGUAGCAGUGAAAUGCGUAGAUAUCAGGAGGAAUACCGAGGGCGAAGGCAGGUCUCUGGGCUGAUACUGACGCUCAUGCACGAAAGCGUGGGGAGCAAACAGG
rnacentral:rRNA from 1 species